UUGCUCUUCAACGAGGAAUUCCUAGUAAGCGCAAGUCAUCAGCUUGCGUUGAUUACGUCCCUGCCCUUUGUACACACCGCCCGUCGCUACUGCCGAUUGAAUGGUUAUAGUGAGCAUAUGGGAUCAGUAGGUUUCGACUGGCAACAGUCUCUUCCUGCCGAAAACUAUGGCAAACUAGAUUAUUUAGAGGAAGUAAAAGUCGUAACAAGGUUUCCGUAGGUGAACCUGCGGAAGGAUCAUUAAAUAAUUUUAAUUUUAUUUCUUCGCGAAAUAUUAUUAUAUAUUUUACUGUGAACUGUAUUAUUUCAUGACGCUUGAGGAAUGCUUCUGCUGUACCAUAAUGGACAGGUCAGCGAAGAUGUUAACCGAGUCGUGGUCAAGCUUAGGCUUGGUGUCCUUAAUUAUUAUUAUCCAAAAGAAUUCAUUUUAAAAAUAUUUUAAUAUGGGCGUAAAAAACUCAUUAAAACAACUUUUAACAACGGAUCUCUUGGUUCUCGCAUCGAUGAAGAACGUAGCAAAGUGCGAUAACUAGUGUGAAUUGCAUAUUCAGUGAAUCAUCGAGUCUUUGAACGCAUCUUGCGGUCAAUGGUAUUCCAUUGACCACGCCUGUUUCAGUAUCAAAAACUACCCCACAUUUAUAAUUUUUUUAGUUAUAGAUGGGCAUUGAGAGUUUACCGGUGGAUUUUUUUCCAUGGGUUCUCUUUAAUAUCACCUGGCAGAAGGAAUUGACUGUAUGUUCGUGGAUGCCCAUUAAACCUUUUAAUUAAAAGAUUUUCUUGGGCACUUAAAGUCUGCGGGCAACUACACAGUUGAAACUAGAGGCCUCCAAAAUAAAAUUUUAAAAUUUGAUCUGAAAUCAGGCGGGAUUACCCGCUGAACUUAAGCAUAUCAAUAAGCGGAGGA
rnacentral:rRNA from 1 species